AUUUUAUGCUUUGUAAUUGGAAUGAUGGGAAUGUAAAACCCUUCCAGAGUAACAAUUGGAGGGCAAGUCUGGUGCCAGCAGCCGCGGUAAUUCCAGCUCCAAUAGUGUAUAUUAGAGUUGUUGCAGUUAAAAAGCUCGUAGUUGGAUUUCUGUCGUGGUCAGCCGGCGCCGCCCGUAAUGGGUGCGCGCGUGGUUUGCCCGCGGCUUUCUUCCGGUAGCCUUCCGCGCUUCGGUGCGUGUGUUGUGUGUUCCGGAACUUUUACUUUGAGAAAAAUAGAGUGUUUCAAGCAGGCUUGUCGCCCUGAAUACUGCAGCAUGGAAUAAUAAGAUAGGACCUUGGUUCUAUUUUGUUGGUUUCUAGGACCAAGGUAAUGAUUAAUAGGGACAGUUGGGGGCAUUCGUAUUUAACUGUCAGAGGUGAAAUUCUUAGAUUUGUUAAAGACGAACUACUGCGAAAGC
rnacentral:rRNA from 1 species